UACGUAGGGACCGAGCGUUGUCCGGAUUCAUUGGGCGUAAAGAGCUCGUAGGCGGCCACUCAAGUCGAAUGUGAAACCUCGAGGCUUAACCUCGAGCCUGCAUUCGAUACUGGGCGGCUAGAGUCUGGUAGGGGGAUCUGGAAUUCCUGGUGUAGCGGUGGAAUGCGCAGAUAUCAGGAGGAACACCGGUGGCGAAGGCGGGAUCCUGGGCCAGUACUGACGCUGAGGAGCGAAAGCUAGGGGAGCAAACAGG
rnacentral:rRNA from 1 species